rnacentral:rRNA from 1 species
AACGAACGCUGGCGGCAGGCUUAACACAUGCAAGUCGAGCGCCCCGCCAGGGGAGCGGCAGACGGGUGAGUAACGCGUGGGAACGUACCUUUUGGUUCGGAACAACUCCGGGAAACUGGAGCUAAUACCGGAUAAGCCCUAACGGGGAAAGAUUUAUCGCCGAAAGAUCGGCCCGCGUCUGAUUAGCUAGUUGGUGAGGUAACGGCUCACCAAGGCGACGAUCAGUAGCUGGUCUGAGAGGAUGAUCAGCCACACUGGGACUGAGACACGGCCCAGACUCCUGCGGGAGGCAGCAGUGGGGAAUAUUGGACAAUGGGCGCAAGCCUGAUCCAGCCAUGCCGCGUGAGUGAUGAAGGCCUUAGGGUUGUAAAGCUCUUUUGUCCGGGAAGAUAAUGACUGUACCGGAAGAAUAAGCCCCGGCUAACUUCGUG